AGUCAUUUCUGUCAUUGCUGUUGAGAUUUUGGCUUAUACUUGGAGAAGGUAUUGCACGCUAAGACCUCUAGGCAAAAGGGGAGAGGGGGGAGUGUGGGGGAUGAAGUCCCUUGUAAUAUGGUACAGUAUUGUUAACCUAAGAUGGUUCUAAUUAUAGGUGGUUAUUCUUGUAAUUUCAGGUUUCUCCUAUCCUAGUAUAAAAAGGAAACCCUGUACAAAGGUGAUUGUAAAGUUCUUCAUUGUUAAAAGUCGCAAGUGGCUUUGUGGACGUCGACUCAUUGCAAAACCACAAAAAAUUCCUUGUGCCAUAAUUUUUCUCUAUCUUCACUCUUUCUACAUUUGCUAUUCUUAUCAGUGUGCUUUGUGUGGGUUAUUUUAACAAUUGUACUCUUCUCUCUUGUUAAUAUUUCCUUUAUCAGGCACAUACACACAUAGAUGGGAUGCCAUUUGCAAAUGUUAAAAUUACAGCAUACUUUGGUGCUCUAGAGCUUUUUUUAAUUUUCAUGUGCUGUGGCAUUCCUUGGUUGAGGACAAGGUGCAUCGAACAUAAAAACUGGAGAUUACAAGAAUCUAUUUGUGAGGAAUUUCUGCUAUCUUCUAACAUCAUUCUGAUGUUCUUGGAAUGGGAAUGGCUUGAAUUUCUGUAACUUACUUUGUAGAUGCUUUAUGGCCUUCCCUGUGCUUGCUGAGUGCUGAUCAAAAUUGCUAUGAAUAGUUUUGCAAUUUCUUCAAUGUAGAAUGUAUCAUAUGGUAGUGAAGCAUCUGUAGUUCCCUUGCAGUUAAUAUUGUUUCCUUAAAUUUUAACAAGGCUCCUCUUCCAUUGAUCAAGGGCCUUGGACUAAAGUUUCAACUUCUGUGGUUGGACUCUGUGGUCUGGCUAGCAUCAAAUUUCUGUGCUUGGCCUGGCCUGAGUCCACCUAUAAGACACUACUAUACAUAAGAUAUUAACUCCUGCCUACUUCCAAGUUUUCAGCUUCUGUCUUAAGUGCUGAUAUGGGAUGUCUGUUUAUAUUCUAUUUAUCUUUUUAUGAAUAUUAACUUUUGUAACUUUAUUUAUUGAGGGUGUAUAUCCAUUGACAUGCAGGUGACAGCCUUGCAAUUUUGAG
rnacentral:misc_RNA from 1 species